UAGGAAGCGCUGCUAAUACAUGCAAGUCGAACGCUUUGUGGUUCAACUGAUUUGAAGAGCUUGCUCAGAUAUGACGAUGGACAUUGCAAAGAGUGGCGAACGGGUGAGUAACACGUGGGAAACCUACCUCUUAGCAGGGGAUAACAUUUGGAAACAGAUGCUAAUACCGUAUAACAAUGACAACCGCAUGGUUGUUAUUUAAAAGAUGGUUCUGCUAUCACUAAGAGAUGGUCCCGCGGUGCAUUAGCUAGUUGGUAAGGUAAUGGCUUACCAAGGCGAUGAUGCAUAGCCGAGUUGAGAGACUGAUCGGCCACAAUGGGACUGAGACACGGCCCAUACUCCUACGGGAGGCAGCAGUAGGGAAUCUUCCACAAUGGGCGAAAGCCUGAUGGAGCAACGCCGCGUGUGUGAUGAAGGGUUUCGGCUCGUAAAACACUGUUGUAAGAGAAGAAUGACAUUGAGAGUAACUGUUCAAUGUGUGACGGUAUCUUACCAGAAAGGAACGGCUAAAUACGUGCCAGCAGCCGCGGUAAUACGUAUGUUCCAAGCGUUAUCCGGAUUUAUUGGGCGUAAAGCGAGCGCAGACGGUUAUUUAAGUCUGAAGUGAAAGCCCUCAGCUCAACUGAGGAAUUGCUUUGGAAACUGGAUGACUUGAGUGCAGUAGAGGAAAGUGGAACUCCAUGUGUAGCGGUGAAAUGCGUAGAUAUAUGGAAGAACACCAGUGGCGAAGGCGGCUUUCUGGACUGUAACUGACGUUGAGGCUCGAAAGUGUGGGUAGCAAACAGGAUUAGAUACCCUGGUAGUCCACACCGUAAACGAUGAGUGCUAGGUGUUUGAGGGUUUCCGCCCUUAAGUGCCGCAGCUAACGCAUUAAGCACUCCGCCUGGGGAGUACGACCGCAAGGUUGAAACUCAAAGGAAUUGACGGGGACCCGCACAAGCGGUGGAGCAUGUGGUUUAAUUCGAAGCAACGCGAAGAACCUUACCAGGUCUUGACAUCCCUUGACAACUCCAGAGAUGGAGCGUUCCCUUCGGGGACAAGGUGACAGGUGGUGCAUGGUUGUCGUCAGCUCGUGUCGUGAGAUGUUGGGUUAAGUCCCGCAACGAGCGCAACCCUUAUUACUAGUUGCCAGCAUUCAGUUGGGCACUCUAGUGAGACUGCCGGUGACAAACCGGAGGAAGGUGGGGAUGACGUCAAAUCAUCAUGCCCCUUAUGACCUGGGCUACACACGUGCUACAAUGGCGUAUACAACGAGUUGCCAACCCGCGAGGGUGAGCUAAUCUCUUAAAGUACGUCUCAGUUCGGAUUGUAGGCUGCAACUCGCCUACAUGAAGUCGGAAUCGCUAGUAAUCGCGGAUCAGCAACCCG
rnacentral:rRNA from 1 species